rnacentral:lncRNA from 1 species
UUUUUUAUAUAAAUUUCCUGUUUAUAAAACUUUGAAUUUUUCGAAAAACUAAGGAUUUUCUUAUCCCAGGCAUAGAUUACCUUAGACAAAUUUGGCACAACUUUUUGGAAUUUUGGAUUUUAAAUGCUCUUCAACUUUGUUCUUGUUUGGCUUUAUAAUAUUUCGAUAUGAGCGUCACUGAUGAGUCUUAUGUAGACGAAACGCGCGUCUGGCGUACUAAAUUAUAAUCCUGGUACCUUUGAUAACU